rnacentral:rRNA from 1 species
UACGUAGGGUGCGAGCGUUAAUCGGAAUUACUGGGCGUAAAGCGUGCGCAGGCGGCUUUGCAAGACAGAGGUGAAAUCCCCGGGCUCAACCUGGGAACUGCCUUUGUGACUGCAAGGCUAGAGUACGGCAGAGGGAGAUGGAAUUCCGCGUGUAGCAGUGAAAUGCGUAGACAUGCGGAGGAACACCGAUGGCGAAGGCAAUCUCCUGGGCCUGUACUGACGCUCAUGCACGAAAGCGUGGGGAGCAAACAGG